ACUCGUGUCGUGAGAUGUUGGGUUAAGUCCCGCAACGAGCGCAACCCUUGUCGUUAGUUACUACCAUUAAGUUGAGGACUCUAGCGAGACUGCCUGGGUUAACCAGGAGGAAGGUGGGGAUGACGUCAAAUCAUCAUGCCCCUUAUGUGUAGGGCUACACACGUGCUACAAUGGCUGGUACAGAGAGAUGCAAUACCGCGAGGUGGAGCCAAACUUAAAAACCAGUCUCAGUUCGGAUUGUAGGCUGAAACUCGCCUACAUGAAGCUGGAGUUACUAGUAAUCGCGAAUCAGAAUGUCGCGGUGAAUACGUUCCCGGGUC
rnacentral:rRNA from 1 species